rnacentral:misc_RNA from 1 species
GAAAUGCGAUAAGUAGUGUGAAUUGCAGAAUUCAGUGAAUCAUCGAAUCUUUGAACGCACAUUGCGCCCCUUGGUAUUCCAUGGGGCAUGCCUGUUCGAGCGUCAUUUGUACCCUCAAGCUCUGCUUGGUGUUGGGUGUUUGUCCCGUCUCCGCGCGUGGACUCGCCCCAAAGUGAUUGGCAGCCGGCGUACUGGUCCCGGAGCGCAGCACAUGUCGCGCAAACGAUUGCCUUGGUACGGCGGCGUCCAUAAGCCCCUCUCUCACGCUCUUGACCUCGGAUCAGGUAGGGAUACCCGCUGAACUUAAGC